AUAACAUGACACAAGAAGACAUCAUGUUCCCUGUAGGCUCUUUGUCCAUUUUUCCUAAGCUACUUUUAUAACCUUUGCACACAAAGAGAUUAAGACCACAAUCAAAAACAAACGAACAAACAAACAAACACGAUUCAGUAACAAAAUCUCCCUUAAAUUCUGCUAAAUGCAAAAUGAUAAAAUAGUAUAUAGAUAAAUCAGUGGAAACAAUAUAUCUUUGAAGGUCAGAUCCCUAAAGUUUUAUCAAUGUAGUGAACAGACUCCAAGCAUUGUGAAAUGAGAACUUACAGACAACAUGUUCUAGCUCUAAAACCACAGUGUUAUCCGCUGGUGGCUUUUGUCCUUUGGUGCAUAGCUGGCCUUCAGGUGUUCCACCUGCAAAUAGUAAUACUUCUUAAAUGCUAAGAAAUGCUUCAAACCGAAAGUUGGGGUAUUGAAAGAAACCACCUGUAAAACUGAGAUCUCUUAACUGGGAGUAUGAGUGAAUUUGAAAUGGAAACAGGUAAGGGUGUGUGUGUAUGUGUGUGUGUGUGUCGCUGAGACUUAUAAUUUAGUUUAAUUUCAUUCACAGCCAUGGAGCUUUUAUUUCUUAUAAGUUGUUUUGCCUUUUUAUAGCAUAGAAUGAGUGACUGAUAUAUUACUUAGCUGGAUUGUACUUAGUGCUGCAUAAUGUCCAGCAUCCUAUUUGUAGCUAAUGGUCAUCCUUUAGUAUUCCAUAGCCUUCUAGUCUAGGUGUGCGUAAAACUUAGAUGACUGCUUUAAGCCAAAGAAAUCAUCCCUUAGCUGACUCUUCCUGGAUAAGCUGAACUAUAUAUUUCAUUGGGAUAUUUCUGGUUCAUUCACUGAAACUUCCCUCUGAUGCUUAAAAUAGUUUUGGGUAUAAUUCUGUCUGCACUAGGAGAAUGGUGGUCUUUAUAAGUUUAUUUACUAGUAACAGUAAUUUUCAGGACAUGAACUUUUACCAAGGUAAAAGAAUUUAUUCCUCCUGUUUUCAUAGUAAAAUUUUCUAUUUCAUGAGGAUGAAUGGAAAACUGAUUUGACAUUUUUUCAAACAGAAAGUGUGCUCUCAAAUUUCUCCUCCCCCUUUUCCUCCCUUUUGACAGCAGAUGGCGUCUCACUGUUUCUUAUCUCUUUUCUGCUUUCUUUGCCUUUUUCUUUCUUUCUUUCCUCCACCCUGCACCCCCACCCCCUUGGCAAACAUUUGUCACAAGAAUGGAUGCUGAUACAUAUCUAUUAUAUCUAUUAUACCUAUUAUAUGUAUGUAUGUGUGUGUGUGUGUGUGUGUGUAUAUCUCUCACUGUGACCUGUUUUCUUUUUCCAGAAAAACAAGAAGGAAAUGAAACAGGUUUUCAUUGCUUAAGGCAUAAUACAACCAGUUAAUUUUCUCUGCUAACAUAUUUGUUAGAGGAACACUGGUUUUCCUUUAGAAGCAGAUGUUACAUUUUAUUGUAACAGUUAAGUUUGCCUUUAUAUUUCUGUCAUGUUGCUUUGCAUGUAGAUGGCACCUGUUUUCUCUUUAAGGUAGAUGGGCACUUUCUGCUAAUUUUACCUUUUUAAAAAUACUAGGCUAUUUCCAAAGAAAAAAUUUUUGAUGUACAGAUAGAUUAAAAUCCAUUUGUGCUUAGUUUGGGAAGUAAAACUGGUAUGACAGUGAUUUGUGCUCGUCCUCUUGAGUAUGAAGUACACAUAAAGACUUAGGAGCCAGUGGAGAACACAUACAGCUUAAUGAAAGAUUGUUAAUGACUAGAAUAGGAUUUAAUUAAUAUGUAUUGUAAAACCAGACUGCAUGUGGACAGUGUGUUUGACCUAAUUAAAUAUUUGGAGGAAUACUAUGAAUCCCACACCCCUAUACCUUUUCCUAUCCUUUCUCCAUCGCUAAAUAUUUAUUGAAUGUUUCUAGAAUGAAUAUUACAUAAAAACAAGUAUAUGAAAUUAUCUUUGCUAUCAAGGCUGCAGUCAUAUUGAAUGUAAUUUGUUAGUUCACUUUCCUGCUUUAGGAAGAAUGUUAAGGUGAACUCAGUCUAAUCUUUAACACAUUAUUACCGUUCAUCUCUGCUUGUCUGAAUCCAAGUUUUAAUCUCCAGUCUAUAUUCUAUAAAGUUAACGUUAGUGAUCCCAGUCGGCACAGAGACUGCUCAGAUUAGUGAAUCAGUAAGUAAUGGAAUAAUUUAUAUUCUCCAUAUAUGCUUUGAAAAUCUCAACAAUGAGGCAAGCUGCCAACACCUACAAACAUUAAUUAUUAGAGGCUUUUUUUUUUUCUUUUUUGAUGGCCCUGUGGCAUAUGGCAUCCUGGGCCAGGGAAUAGAUUUGAACCGCUACUGCAGCCUGCACCGCAGCUGCGGCAACACCAGAUAUUAACCCACUGUGCCAGGUCAAGAAUCAAACCUGCAUUCUGGUGCUGCAGAGAUGCUGCUGAUUCUGUUGUGUCACUGCAGGAACUCUUAAUUAUUUAAUUAAUUAAGGGCCACUAGGACUGUGAAGUCUCCUCAGGGAAGUUAUAAGAGUGGGCUCUAUGCCGUUGAGUUGCAGGGCUCACUGCUCCCCUUUCCUCAACCCCUGCUAAGCUUUGCACUCCCAGGAGAAGCUGCAGGAGCUGGAGAGGGGUGCUGCACUGCCAGAGGAUGUGCAAGAGAAGAUGCUGAACCUAUCUAUUUCUAGGCCCGUAAAACAUACAAGAAAUUUCUGUAUAGAAAUAUGGUUAGCAGAAAUUGCAUUUGAGGACAGGCACAUUGGAAUUGGUGAGUGGCUGAUAUAGCUUAGAGCAGUGAGGUUUCACUGAUCCUCAUUACUGAUGUUGUAGCCAGGAAGGGGCUGGUCUCACCUGGCCUGUCACCUUUCUUUCCCCCACCUUCAAAUGCUCUCUGUUUCUUUUACUGUUUAAAUAGGAAACCAAGGUGCUGGAAUCCCCCAGAGUUAUGGGUAUGAAGGUUGUGGGCGUGUGAAUGGGUUUGGGCUUUGCCCUUCGUGGAACCCUAACCCUUUCCCCUUCCAGUUUUGGAAAAAUCAUCCCCUGUGGUUGAGUUACUCCCUUUUUCAGUUCCAUAAGCUCACCACCUCCAUACCUAUAGCUCUGAAGGAGUCUAACACUUUUAAUUCCUCUUGUCUCCACCUUCAAAACUCAGAGGUUUCCUGGGUAGUCUACUCCAUACCUGGAGAAUUAUUGUCUGUUCUAAAAUUCUUCCCCACCCCCCAAAUAUGUUUACAACUAGUGCUGACAUUUAUUGUGUGCUUACUUAGAAUCAGAUGCUUUUCUAAAAGACUAUUAAGUAUCCUCAUUUUAAUUUGCGUAACAACCCUGGAAGGUACAAUUCCCAUUUUUACAUCUAAGGAAAUUGUGGCUUAUGGGAUUUGACCAAGAGCCUGCAGCUGGUACGUGGAAAAAUCUGAAUGUGAACCUAGAUUUUUGAUUACUAAACCCUAGAAGACAGGUGCUGAGUUCUCACUUUGCCAAUGACUACUUCAUCUUGGGUAUGAAAAAACUUUAAACCAGGUGUUGAUAAUAAUUGUACAACAGCUGUAUUCACAUUACCAAGCUGUGUUUAAUAAAAUUGCUUAGUUUGCUUUAAGUGCAUAUUUUAAAAAUCUGUUCUCAUAGAUAAUUACUUGCAAAUUACAACAAGGGUUUUUUGGUUUUGUUUUGUUUUCAAAUAACUUACCUUGGGAUCCCAGGAUGUUUUUCAGUUCAACCAAUCUUAGGUAGGGAAUAUUUGUUUCAAAACCAUAACCCUCUAACUAAACUUAUGGAAACAAUUGCUCACAUUCCUUAUCAUAAAUCUAAAGUCAUACAGGAAACAUCUAAUUCUUCAAAUAAAUAUUUGCCCUCUCUCAAAUAGGGUAUUAUCACAAAGGACUUUCUACUGUGAUGAAAGCAAGGCAGUACGAUGCCCCAUGCGCCUCCCUCCUGCAUUUAAUGGCAGCCCACACCAGGGCACGGUUGUGUGCUUGCUUGAGCAACUCUUAAGAGCAGACUGUGCACACCGGCAUUUUUCACAUGGCCAGGGCGGAGCCACAACUUCCCUUUCCAGUUUCACACUUAUAGGAAGUCCACGCGUGCACACGGAGGUGCCAGGGGACCCUCCCGGACCUCAGAAUUGUUAACACACGACCCUGUGUAUCCACAGAGGGUGAAAAGUUUGCAUGUAAACCAUGUCAGUGUCAUUUACAAAAAUUACAGCUUUUAAAAUAUCUAAGAUGUAUUCGAACAUUAGAAACAGAUGGUGGUGUAUCCUUGGAGCACUUCCAUGAGAGUGUUUUUAAAAACAUUAGUCCAAUAUUGACUGGAUGCUGAUUUAUGU
rnacentral:lncRNA from 1 species